UGAGAUAAACUCUAGGUGUUUCAAACUGGAGCUUAGAGAUGAGCAGAAAGAGGGGGAGAGCUAUUUGGAGUAUAACUCUACCCUAGAGGAAAAAAGCUAGGACUCAAACUGUGAAAAAAUAUGCCUCACUCAAAGUCUGUUUGAUGAAAAGCCUGUUACUAGAGCGUGUUGAAUUUAGGAGGCUGCUUGCUAUGCCAGAGGACAGUAAUCUUCAGCUAAGAACACCACUGCAGAGAAAAUAGAGAUGAAUCGUCACUGUGGGCUGGAGCUGAUCUAAAGUGUAGAGAUAGACAAAAAAUGUCCUUCUCUGAUGUCAACUGGCUGCCUCAGCAGUUGUGGGAGAGCGUGAGCUGUCCUGUAUGAGAGCUGCUGCUGCAGCAGAGGCAAUGGCAGAAGAAGGGGAUCAUCGGGAGAGCUGCUCUGCCCAGCGGCUACCCUCACCCUAAGCUGCCCUGCUUUGAAGAAGAGCUCCCGGGAAAAGGUGCACAACUUGAGAAAAGUCAGAAUAAAAGAUUUCUCUCCUCUGAUGCACAAGCGUAUAUUUUCUUCUCACGUCUGACAUAGGAACUUGAAUGAGAAUUUUAGAGGCAUCACUUAGGAGAAAACUUGCUAUGGUGCUGUCUGCCCCCUCUUUGAAAAGAGCUGCAGAGUUUCCAGGUGUUACUGGACUGCUGGUCGCUCCCAGGGGUUCAGAUUGCCCAGAGGGAUCUUGUUUCCGGUUUGCAACAUUGUGACUAUUAUUACUGAAGUGUGAACUCACAGAUAUUCUUAAGCCGAUCUUAAUGAAGAUUGAAUUUCCAUUAUGUGCUCUACAGAAGAUACCCACACAGUAAGCCUAUGGGACUUUUGUUAUUUAGUGAAAUGUUGUAUAACUGCAGGCUAAGCCAUAAUAGCUGCAGUUGAAUAUGAAAAUGAACGUGUUUAUGUAUUAAAAUAGUCCUGGUAAAGAACCAGUACAAUUAAAAUAUUGCCAGUGCACCAUUAAAGUUGUUUGCCAUUGGAUCUGGAUAGGUACAGCAAUAUUUUUGUAUCACAUGACUAAAAGAUAUCUAAUUAUGGGUAAAUCAUCAACUGCUGUGUUGCUAAAGCAGAACAAGGUUAAAGCACAACAGCUUAAACAAGGAAAAUGUUCCGUUAAUUGUGGAACUGUUUUAAUCCUGCAGUGUACUAGACUCUACUUUAGUAGAGUAUAUGGAGUUUGAUUAUUCACUGGCUUUUUUUUUUUCACUAGAAUUCCUUUAAUAUUCUUUAUCCACAUUGGCAUUUUCAAAUUAAUUUUUCAAUAUUGCACUCAUCUAACUGUCCUCUGAACUGAAAAGUAAAAUAGUCAGAGUUGUGCUGAUACUUGGUUUACAAGAUUUCAGUCUACCUAAAGUGGCAUAAAACCCCACAGUUUAGUUUAAUAUUUGUUCAUUUCUCUGAUUUAAAUGACACCAACAUUCUAAAUGCAUUGUAGUGUUUAUACACAUGCAUUCACAAACAUGUUUUAUUUAGUUUCUAUACAGGAGAAAACCCUAGACAUGCAAAAACACUGAAUGAAGGAAGUAGGAUUUUUUUAACUAACAUAUUUACCUGUUUCAGAAAAGCUCAAAAUGUGUGCAAAUACAAAUCUUGAUUCCAUACUACCUGGAACAUAAUUCCUUUAGUACAAAUAAUCAAUAAUAAGUUUGCAGGCAUUGGUUUCACAAAGCUUUCUUUGAAAAAAUACAUUUUAACAUGCUAACAUUAGGAUACAGUCUUCAAAAUAGAGAUGAAAAAUGUCUUUGCUGCCUUUGAGACCAAUUGAAUUGUGAGUUUAAAUGGACAUAAAUCUGUUAUUAGCAAUACAGAUUUUCACUGCAAAAAGCAGGUUCAUUUGAAAUGUAUAAAAUCUCCAUUUACACCUGAUAGGAAACAUUGUAACUUUUUCUUACAUAGUGUUGGAGAAGUGUGAAUUUUCAAGACUUAUAUUUCAUGACUGGUAAUUAUUAAUAAAUAUUUAAGCAAGUUUGGAUA